GUGAGGAAUAUUGCGCAAUGGCCGAAAGGCUGACGCAGCGACGCCGCGUGGAGGAUGAAGUCCGUUAGGAUGUAAACUCCUUUUGCAGGGGAUGAAUGUUCCGCCUUGAGCGGACUUGACCGUACCCUGCGAAUAAGGAUCGGCCAACUACGUGCCAGCAGCCGCGGUAAUACGUAGGAUCCGAGCGUUGUCCGGAAUUACUGGGUGUAAAGGGCGUGUAGGUGGGUUCCGAAGUCGGUGGUGAAAUCCUGCAGCUCAACUGCAGAAUUGCCUCCGAUACUGGGAAUCUUGAGUGCGGCAGAGGGAGAUGGAAUUCAUGGUGUAGCGGUGAAAUGUGUAGAUAUCAUGAAGAACACCGGUAGCGAAGGCGGUCUCCUGGUCCGUCACUGACACUGAUGCGCGAAAGCGUGGGGAGCAAACAGGAUUAGAUACCCUAGUAGUCC
rnacentral:rRNA from 1 species